UAUAUUUUUUAUACAAAAAGGUAUAUAAGUCUUCCAAUAUCCUAUCUAUUAAUAUUUCAUUAAAAUCGAAUCACUUGAUCAACAAACACAUUAAGAAAAUACUCACGGAUUUAUCCUCACUUGCAUCUGAAACAAAAGAAAAUGCAUUAUUCAAGCGAAAUCAUACUUGUCUACAAAAACGAAUUAAAUUGGUAUUUUUCUAAUACAAAGCUAUGUUUUUGUUGUGUGUUUAUUUAAGGAAUUUUGUAAAUCCAACAACAAUUAAUUUCUUGAGCAUUUUCAAUCUAGUGUCUUUUUUGUAAGCAAGUUUAUAUUUGAUUAAAGUCUACGUUCAUUUUAUAACGAGACUGAAAAUUAAAAAGAUGAUUUAAUGCAUUUAUAUUGAGAAUAUAGUAAAAAAAAUGCGACUCCAGGAAUCUCAAGUGCGCCCAAGGAGUACUUUUUAUCGCACACCCAGAGAGGAUGCCUGCCACGUCCAGUGUACAAUGAAGCCGUUCGUUGCGCAACAAGAGGCGCUGGGCGGAAUAAAUUUCAAGGAGGUAGGACGCCUACGCACUGGCCUCCGCCGUCAAUAACAAUCGAUUGAGUGAAAUUGCUGUUCUACUUAAAGAAACGUGUGUUUUUUGGACUAUAUACUUAAGUCGAAUUCGGGAAUUGUGAAGAAAAUAGAUUUCUACUGAAUUGACGCAAUAUGAGAAAUGUAAAGUUUUAAGUUUGAAAGCUUUUAUCCCCGCAAUUACGUUUCAAUACACGGACAGGACUUCAAAUUUGAAGAGAUUCGCCUGCGACGUCUAAACAUUACUGUAAAGGCAU